rnacentral:rRNA from 1 species
UACGGGGGGGGCAAGCGUUGUUCGGAAUUACUGGGCGGAAAGGGCUCGUAGGCGGCCAACUAAGUCAGACGUGAAAUCCCUCGGCUUAACCGGGGAACUGCGUCUGAUACUGGAUGGCUUGAAUCCGGGAGAGGGAUGCGGAAUUCCAGGCGUAGCGGUGAAAUGCGUAGAUAUCUGGAGGAACACCGGUGGCGAAGGCGGCAUCCUGGACCGGCAUUGACGCUGAGGAGCGAAAGCCAGGGGAGCAAACGGG